GGAGUUUGGGCCGUGUCUCAGUCCCAAUGUGGCCGGUCACCCUCUCAGGUCGGCUACUGAUCGUCGGUUUGGUGGGCCGUUACCCCGCCAACUGCCUAAUCAGACGCGGGGCCAUCCCAUUCCACCGGAGUUUUUCACACUGUAUCAUGCGAUACCGUGCGCUUAUGCGGUAUUAACAGUCGUUUCCAACUGGUAUCCCCCGGAAUGGGGCAGGUUCCCCACGCGUUACUCACCCGUGCGCCGGUCGCCAUCAAGGUUUGCAAGCAAACCCCAUGCUGCCCCUCGACUUGCAUGUGUUAAGCCUGUAGCUAGCGUUCAUC
rnacentral:rRNA from 1 species